rnacentral:rRNA from 1 species
UACGUAGGGUGCGAGCGUUGUCCGGAAUUAUUGGGCGUAAAGAGCUUGUAGGUGGUUUGUCGCGUCUGCUGUGAAAAUCCGAGGCUCAACCUCGGACUUGCAGUGGGUACGGGCAGACUAGAGUGUGGUAGGGGAGACUGGAAUUCCUGGUGUAGCGGUGGAAUGCGCAGAUAUCAGGAAGAACACCCGUGGCGAAGGCGGCUCUCUGGGACGGUACUGGACGCUGAGACGCGAAAGCGUGGGGAGCGAACAGG